rnacentral:rRNA from 1 species
GCCGACGCCGAAAUCCGCCGCUUAUCGCCGGUCGGGUUCCGAACACGGAAAUUAAGCUCGCGCGCCGAUGGUAGUUGGGGCUGCGCGUCCCCUGUGAGAGUAGGACGUUGCCGGGC